AUGAUGCUCCGCAGGGCCUUUCUCGUCUUCCUUCUCUUCCUAUUCCUUUCUUCUCACAUAACCAUCUCUUCGAAAGUCGCCGGUGCCCGAGCGAUGAGUAAUGGAGGAAGCAAUUUUGAAGAGACGAUGGUGAGCAAGAUUGUUGUUUGUGGAAGUCAACCCCGGCAUGCCCCUUCAAAGGGCCGGCCUCCGAAGCCAUGCCCGCCAUCGUGAAUCUUUCGAAUGAUUCUCGAUUAUUAAAUUUUCUGUUCAAUUGCUCAUUACUCCUAAUAUUUGUUGGUGUUAUAAAGAAACAAAUCAUCCGCUUUCUAUAGUCUCCAUGGUUAUUUGGGGUUUUCCGCAUAUUUCUGUUCAUGGAGCUCAAAUGAUUUCUUUGAAUACACUGCGAAUGGGAUUGUUGAUUGAAUUGAUAUCCUAUGCCGUUUCACCACAUUUCAUGCUCCCGAAAUACCAUGUCAUCCACCGUGCAAUCCAACAGGGAUAUCAUAUUUCAAAAGCACUUUAAAGUUUUUCAGAGGAAGCGUGAGAUCUCAAAUUUGAUUCUAUUUAG